rnacentral:lncRNA from 1 species
AAGCCCUUUAAUUUCACACUCCCCAGCAUGACUGAACCUCACCCCACACCAAGACCUCCCUUCCCAAUCUCCAUCACAGGCCUCACAGUAUCUCCUUCGCACACAGUGGCUGGAUUAGGGCUCGGACCGAAGGCCAGGAAUGAAAUAAGAUACUUUUAUACUUAUUGAUCCUUUAAAAAAGAGUUCAUUUUCAUGAAACUUUAAUUCACUUUUUUUUUCUUUUUUAGCUUUUUAGCCUAACUGCUACACAUUUUCUCCCUGUUCUUUGUGAAAUGCUAAUCCAGCCCAGGGUUUUCGUUUUCCGGGUGUAACUUUUCAGAAAUUGUAUAUCUGCAUAGCAACCCCGCAAGGGCUGCCUAUGUCACGGUAUCACAUGUCAGAAAGAUGAAAAGGACUCCAAAUCUAAGCUCUCCACAAACUUGGCCCUCCGAUUCUGGGCCAGAGAGCUUCUUGGCCUUAAUAUAAAUGGCAGGAGAGACAUUUCAGGGCCAGAAAGGUGCAAACUUUUAUCUUGUUGAUGACAGAAAACGACGCAUGACCUCAGCUUAGCUCGGUGGGGACGAUCAAACCAGAAACAAAGGCCGUAUUUUUCUCUGCUCUUGUCCCUGCUGUCAGCUUCCAAGUGCAACCUGAGCCUGGAUUCCGAACCCAGUGUCCAGAUUAGAGAUUGUUGACUCAGAUUUAGUGGUGAAACGUGAGCCGGACUCUGUUGAUGGCAAGCCUUGAAGAAGCAAGUUUACUUAAGCCAAGAGAGAGAUUGUAUGUCAGACCAGAGCCUGGCUUUUCUUUAUCACAAACUUCCUGAUCUGCCUCUGUUUUAAUAGUUUCCACCACCACCACUGAGAGCAAGAAAGAGAGUGAGACAGAGAGACAUAGAGAAAGAGAGAGGAAGCACCCCUCUCAGUUCCGUCUCUUCAGUGUUAUAAAUCAGGAAAUUAACAAGUGUGUAACUGGCCUUUGCCACAGUCAAAGACAAUGAGCCUUUUGUGUUUCUAACUGGGGGCCGGCACUUAACAUAAUCAAUGAAGAACUCUACUCAGAAAGGAUGAAAAAUGGAGGCUUGAUCCGGC